rnacentral:rRNA from 1 species
UGGGGAAUAUUGGACAAUGGGGGAAACCCUGAUCCAGCAAUGCCGCGUGUGUGAAGAAGGCCUGAGGGUUGUAAAGCACUUUCAGUGGGGAGGAGGGUUGAUAGGUUAAGAGCUAAUUAAUUGGACGUUACCCACAGAAGAAGCACCGGCUAACUCCGUGCCAGCAGCCGCGGUAAUACGGAGGGUGCGAGCGUUAAUCGGAAUUACUGGGCGUAAAGGGUGCGUAGGUGGUUUAUUAAGUUAUCUGUGAAAUCCCUGGGCUUAACCUGGGCAGGUCAGAUAAGACUGGUAGACUCGAGUAUGGGAGAGGGUAGUGGAAUUUCCGGUGUAGCGGUGAAAUGCGUAGAGAUCGGAAGGAACACCAGUGGCGAAGGCGGCUGCCUGGCCUAAUACUGACACUGAGGCACGAAAGCGUGGGGAGCAAACAGGAUUAGAUACCCUGGUAGUCCACGCUGUAAACGAUGUCAACUAGCUGUUGGGUAUAUGAAUGUACUUAGUGGCGCAGCAAACGCGAUAAGUUGACCGCCUGGGGAGUACGGUCGCAAGAUUA